CGGAGCCCACGGCCGCUCUGCGUUCCCCGCCAGGCGCGCGGCACCGGCUCCCUGCGCAGCACGAGCUGUGCCCUGACGGGAUUAGUCAUCCCGUGCCGUGAGUCACCCAUUUAAUAUUUGCCGCUUCCUUCCUCAUAGGUUUUUUUUUUUUUUAAUUCCCUUUCUCCACUGUAACUGUUUACUCUCCUCUCCAAGGACAGCGGGCAGCUCCUUUCCCCUGCCCGCGCCUUCCAGCCGUGCGCAGCUGCGGGCGCGGAGCCGCAGCCGGCGGUAGGAGCAGGGGGAUCCCGCCGGCGCUGCCACGGUGUCGCCGGACAGUCGGGCUGGAGCCGCUGCUCAGACCUGACAUGUGGUCCUGCCCAUCGCCCCGGUUUGAUUUAUGCUCCUCUUGUAUCUGGAAAGCAGUAGGUACCAAAGCUGGGGCACUGAGACUGUUCUGAAGUCUCUCUCCUCAAGACACUGCCGGCUGAGGACCAGCGCUGCGGUGGGAAGCCACUGGCUGACGCCACAGUUGGGACGACUUGGGAGAACAUCGCUGGGUCUCUGACUCCGACCCCGGGCUGCUCCAAGCAGCUUCCAAAACUGAAUGUGCGCUUCCUUACGAACAAGUUAAUUUUUGGGGGGUGCUUUUUUCUCCUCUCCAUUUUAGCUCCUCUUGGAAAGGACCUAUGCAGUGCUGGGAGAUCUGCUCCCUCUGGGAGCACAUUACUGCCUAGCAUCCCUUUCCCACAGCUGGCAUCCUCACCGCUGGCUUUCUUUGCUCAGCCAAAAUUCCUGUUUCUCUUCCAGCCCUCGUUCUGCCGGAGGAAAUGGGCAGACAUGAAGGCACCCUGCAUGGCCCCAUCCUCACACGUGCCGGUGCCCCAAACCAUAGCACGGGGGACAAAAGCAGAGCCACAAACGGGAUAGUGGACAAAAGACUUUGCUAUGAGUUUUUUAAUAUGAACCUGAUGCCAGCGAGGAAAGGGAAGUGACGUUGUUACAGCAAUAACCCUGAGGAACGUCAGCUGUUAUUGAUGAGGACAAGUAAAAGGGCACCUUUGCACACAGUUAACAUUUCUUAUUUACUUUCCUAUCGGAGGCAAAGAAAAUAGCUUGGUUGUGCUACCUGUCAGAAGUAGCAAAUCUCUUUUUCUCACUUAGAGUGGGUUUUUGAGGCACACAGCCUUGUCAUGCAAAACACAGCAACCCUUCCCUCAUUCAUGUGGUAGAAAUCCUUCCUGUUCACUUCCAGGAGAACAUCCAUCUUGUCUGGCAAGCCAAGCAGCACCUUGGGGCACAUCUGGAGGCAGCCAGAUAAGCCUGAUGAGAUGAGCAAUUCAGGAAAAAAAAAAAAUCACAUGAGUCUCCAUAGAACAGCAGGAUCAGGACUCAUGUUUGCACAUCACUUGGGCCAGUAACAGGAACAUGGCUCUCAUUGUAAGAAGGUGGGAUGAACUCUGCAGCCAACAUCUGCACCAUCAGGGCAGAACAGCUGUUGGGGAAACCUUCAGUGAGCCCAGUGCAUCUGUAUCUCUGACCAAACAGGAGCAACAUGCCACAGUGAUAUCCUUGACCCCUCUUUUGGGCUGCACCUGGGUGGCUGCAUGACUGCUGAACAUCAUAGGCAGUUUGGGGGCAUGGAGGCACUCUCUGUGCCAGCCAGACCACUGCAGAGAAAGGAUUGCAUUUCUUGCAGCAUUUUGUUCCAGAAGAUGCUUCUGAAAACAUCUUUCCACAUUCACAUCAAGGAGCUGUGCAUGCUGCUACUGAUCUGAGCAUGCUGCUACUGAGCUCUGCAUGCUAAAAUAAAGCAUACACUGUCUUUGCUA